UACGGGGGGAGCAAGCGUUGUUCGGAUUUACUGGGCGUAAAGGGCGCGUAGGCGGCCAGCGCAAGUCAGUUGUGAAAUCUCCGGGCUUAACCCGGAACGGUCAGAUGAUACUGCUUUGCUAGAGUGCGGAAGGGGCAAUCGGAAUUCUCGGUGUAGCGGUGAAAUGCGUAGAUAUCGAGAGGAACACCAGAGGUGAAGACGGGUUGCGUGGGCCGACACUGACGCUGAUAGCGCGAAAGCCAGGGGAGCAAACGGGG
rnacentral:rRNA from 1 species